rnacentral:rRNA from 1 species
AGGACGAACGCUGGCGGCGUGCUUAACACAUGCAAGUCGAGCGGAAAGGCCCUUCGGGGUACUCGAGCGGCGAACGGGUGAGUAACACGUGAGUAACCUGCCCCUAGCUCUGGGAUAGCUCCGGGAAACCGGGAUUAAUACCAGAUACGACCACUUUAGACAUCUGUCGUGGUGGAAAGGAUUCCGGCUAGGGAUGGGCUCGCGGCCUAUCAGCUUGUUGGUGGGGUAACGGCCUACCAAGGCGACGACGGGUAGCCGGCCUGAGAGGGCGACCGGCCACACUGGGACUGAGACACGGCCCAGACUCCUACGGGAGGCAGCAGUGGGGAAUAUUGCGCAAUGGGCGAAAGCCUGACGCAGCGACGCCGCGUGGGGGAUGAAGGCCUUCGGGUUGUAAACCCUUUCAGCAGGGACGAAGCGAAAGUGACGGUACCUGCAGAAGAAGCGCCGGCUAACUACGCGCCAGCAGCCGC